rnacentral:rRNA from 1 species
UACGUAGGGGGCUAGCGUUGUCCGGAAUUAUUGGGCGUAAAGCGCGCGUAGGCGGCCCGGUAAGUCCGCUGUGAAAGUCAAAGGCUCAACCUUUGAAUGUCAGCGGAUACUGCCGGGCUAGAGUCCGGAAGAGGCGAGUGGAACUCCUGGUGUAGCGGUGGAAUGCGCAGAUAUCAGGAAGAACACCAACGGCGAAGGCAGCUCGCUGGGACGGAACUGACGCUGAGGCGCGAAAGCGUGGGGAGCGAACAGG